rnacentral:rRNA from 1 species
CAAUAGCGUAUAUUAAAGUUGUUGCGGUUAAAAGCUCGUAGUUGGAUUUCUGCUGAGGACGACCGGUCCGCCUCCGGGUGAGUAUCUGGUUCGGCCUGGGCAUCUUCUUGGAGAACGUAUCUGCACUUGACUGUGUGGUGCGGUAUCCAGGACUUUUACUUUUGAGGAAAUUAGAGUGUUUCAAGCAGGCAUACGCCUUGAAUACAUUAGCAUGGAAUAAUAAGAUAGGACCUCGGUUCUAUUUUGUUGGUUUCUAGAGCUGAGGUAAUGAUUAACAAGGAUAGUUGGGGCAUUCGUACUUAAAUGUCAGAGGUGACAUUCUUUGAUUUGUUGAAGACGGACUACUGCGAAAGCACUUGCCAAGGAUGUUUUUCAUUGAUCAAGAACGAAGGUUAGGGGAUCGAAGAUGAUCAGAU